UAGUAGCGAAGGUCAUGAUCUCAGACUGCCAAGAAAAGCCUCUAGCCAGGAGAAGGUGCCCGUACCGCAAACCGACACAGGUAGGCGAGAAGAGAAUUCUAAGGCGCGCGGAAGAACUCUCGUUAAGGAACUCGGCAAAAUGACCCCGUAACUUCGGGAGAAGGGGUGCCUCGGUAGGGUGAAUAGCCCGAGGGGGCCGCAGUGAAAAGGCCCAAGCGACUGUUUAGCAAAAACACAGGUCUGUGCGAAGCCGCAAGGCGAAGUAUACGGGCUGACGCCUGCCCGGUGCUGGAAGGUUAAGGGGAGUGGUAAGCCCUUCGGGGCGAAGCUAUGAACCGAAGCCCCAGUAAACGGCGGCCGUAACUAUAACGGUCCUAAGGUAGCGAAAUUCCUUGUCAGGUAAAUUCUGACCCGCACGAAUGGCGUAACGACUUGGGCGCUGUCUCAACGAGAGAUCCGGUGAAAUUUUAAUACCUGUGAAGAUGCAGGUUACCCGCGACAAGACGGAAAGACCCCAUGGAGCUUUACUGCAGCUUGAUAUUGAAUUUGGGUACGAUCUGUACAGGAUAGGUGGGAGCCGUAGAAUCUUGAGCGCCAGCUUGAGAGGAGGCAUCCUUGGGAUACCACCCUGAUCGUAUCUAGGUUCUAACUUGGUACCGU
rnacentral:rRNA from 1 species